CACUCAGUAAAUGAUUACUGAACUAAGUCAGUUACUAAGACAUGUUAAACUUGUAUUAAGAAAAUUGAUUUAAUAAGUUUGCCAAUGCAGCAUUCAUACCACACAGCUUAAAUCUCAACCCACGGAUUUAUCUUGUGUUCUGCUAGAUUAUCACCUAUUCACAUUCAGGAGGCACCUAGUAUGUGCUAGGCAUUACUAAUUGCUGGGGACCUAGCAGUGACAAAACAACAUUCCUUGUUCAAAGAGAAGUUCUAGUAUAAAGAGGAAUAGAAGGAACAGGCUAGAUUGAUGAGAGAACUAAGAAAAGGACAGGCUGCCAUGGGAAGCACCUGGUCUUGUCUGGAUGGUACAUAGUUAACGAAGUCUGAGUGCUUCGUAUAGCAUAAGAUCAUCUCCUCCAAAGAAGCGAAUGAAGCUUUGAUUCCCCAGUACCAGAAGUCACCAUAAAGAAAUCAAAAGUGGAAGCAGAAAAUUGAGCAAUCAGCCUACCAAGUUGACUGGGGCAACAGAAUACACUCACGGAUUCUGCUCACAACAGCGGGGGUGACAGACCAACAGGAGAACUGUAGAGCGUCCCUCUCUCCUCUGUCCACCCAUGCCACCAGCACGUGAGUGCGUCCACACGCAGCGCCCAGUCUCCUGUUCCACUGACGCCAGCGUCCACUCACCACAAGCCUACUAAGUGCCACAUGUGCUAUGAUGCUCUCUCAUCUCAUCACCAUAGACAUCCCUGCUGGAGGAGCCUCUGUCUACUUUCAACUUCCAUGAGAUCCACUCCUUUUUGCCUUCCACAUAAGAGAACAUGUGCUGUGUAACUUUCUGUCCCUGGCUUAUUUCAUAAUAUCUUCCAGUUCCAUCCACGUUGCUGAGAAUAACAGGACUUCAUCCUGUGUUAUGGCUGAAUAGUACUCCACUGUGUAUCAAGACCACAUUUUCUCUAUCCAUCAUCUGCUGUUGGACACCAAGGCUGGUUCCAUAUCUUGGCUAUGGUGAACAGUGCUGUAGGAAACAUAGAGGUGCGGAUGCCCCUCCGACACUGAUUUCUUUUUCUUUGGGUAUCUACACUGUAGUGGGACUGC